rnacentral:rRNA from 1 species
AGGCUCGUCAAUCGAAAUGAGUACAAUUUAAAUCCUUUAACGAGUACCAAUUGGAGGGCAAGUCUGGUGCCAGCAGCCGCGGUAAUUCCAGCUCCAAUAGCGAAUAUUAAAUUUGUUGCAGUUAAAAAGCUCGUAGUUGGAUCCAAGGUUAGGCAUGCCUGUCUGUUCUUAGUAGCAUGACUGUGUGUGUCUGCCUUUAUUAGUUGAAUGUUCAUUAUGGUGGUCUUCAUCGACUGCUAUGAUGUGCUCAACACGUUUACCUUGAAAAAAUCAGAGCGAUCAAGGCAGGCCUUCGUGCUUGUAUGUUGUUGCAAGGAAUAAUAGAAUAGGACUUCGGUUCUAUUUUGUUGGUUUUGAGAAUUGAAGUAAUGAACAAUAGAGACAGUCGGGGGCAUUUGUAUGGUGGCGUUAGAGGUGAAAUUCUGAGAUCGUCGCCAGACAAACUACUGCGAAAGCAUUUGCCAAGGAUGUCUUCAUUAAUCAAGAACGAAAGUCAGAGGUUCGAAGACGAUCAGAUACCGUCCUAGUUCUGACCAUAAACGAUGCCGACCUACAAUCGGGGGUGGUUUAUUAUAUUGACCCUCCCGGCUGUCCUCAGGAAACUUUAAGUUAGUUCUGGGGGGAAUAUGGUCUCAAGACUGAAACUUAAAGGAAUUGACGGAAGGGCACCACCAGGAGUGGAGCCUGCGGCUUAAUUUGACCCAACACGGGGAAUCUCACCCGGUCCGGACACUGGUAGGAUGGACAGAUUGAUAGCUCUUUCUUGAUUCAGUGGGUGGUGGUGCAUGGCCGUUCUUAGUUGGUGGAGUGAUUUGUCUGGUUAAUUCUGAUAACGAACGAGACUCUGUCCUGCUAAAUAGUCCAGUGGCAUCAAUCACUAUGUGAUUACAGCUGCUGUUACUUCUUAGAGGGAUUCGCGGAUUUAAACCGCAAGAAAUAGAGCAAUAACAGGUCUGUGAUGCCCUUAGAUGUCCGGGGCCGCACGCGCGCUACAUUGACAGUAGAAGCGAGUAUUUCUACCUGGUUCGAAAGAAUUGGGAAAUCUUCGAAUUACUGUCUCCACAGGGAUUGAGGUUUGCAAUUUUGCCUCAUGAACGAGGAAUUCCCAGUAGGCGCAAGUCAUCAGCUUGCGUCGAUUACGUCCCUGCCCUUUGUACACACCGCCCGUCGCUACUACCGAUUGAGUGCAUUAGUGAGGACCUCGGAUUGAGAACAUAGUGGCGCAAGUUACUUUGUUUUCGAAAAGUGGUUCAAAUUUGUGCAUUUAGAGAUAGUAAAAGUCGU